UCCACACCCUUGAUAUGCGGCUACAACUUCUGAUCUUUUUUGUCCCAAAAAACAGGAUCUGAUGAGGCCCAGAUUAUAGAGAUUCCUCUUCACAAAGCUCCUAAGGUAGACAAGCACAGCCCCACCACCAGCUGCCACCUCAUGGCCCGCCAGCCUCGUCCCGCAGACCCGCUGUGGCUGGUCGUCGUUCACCUUGAGGCUCUCAACGUCGAUCUUCUCGAUCACCGCAUCGAUC
rnacentral:lncRNA from 1 species